UACGAAGGGGGCUAGCGUUGUUCGGAAUCACUGGGCGUAAAGCGCACGUAGGCGGAUUGCUAAGUCAGGGGUGAAAUCCUGGAGCUCAACUCCAGAACUGCCUUUGAUACUGGCGAUCUUGAGUCCGGGAGAGGUGAGUGGAACUGGGAGUGUAGAGGUGAAAUUCGUAGAUAUUCGAAAGAACACCAGUGGCGAAGGCGGCUCACUGGCCCGGUACUGACGCUGAGGUGCGAAAGCGUGGGGAGCAAACAGG
rnacentral:rRNA from 1 species